rnacentral:rRNA from 1 species
UUAGGGAGAGGUAAGCGGAAUUCUAAGUGUAGGGGUGCAAUCCGUAGAUACUUAGAGGAACACCAAAAGCGAAGGCAGCUUACUGGAACUAUAUUGACGCUAAAGAACGAAAGCGUGGGUAGCGAAAAGGAUUAGAUACCCUUGUAGUCCACGCCCUAAACGAUGAUAACUAAGUGUUGCGACUAGCUCGCAGUGCUGAAGCUAACGCGAUAAGUUAUCCACCUGAGGAGUACGGUCGCAAGAUUAAAACUCAAAGGAAUAGACGGGGACCCACACAAGCAGUGGAUCACGUGGUUUAAUUCGACAAUAAACGGGGAAUCUUACCCAGACUUGACAUCCCAAGAACGCUUAGGAAACUAGGAAGUGCCCGUAAGGGAGCUUGGAGACAGGUGCUGCAUGGUUGUCGUCAGCUCGUGCCUUGAGGUGUUCGGUUAAGUCCGUUAACGAGCGCAACCCAUGUCAUUAGUUAUUAUGUCUAAUGAGACUGCCUUGGUUAACAAGGAGGAAGGUGUGGAUAACGUCAAAUCAGCAUGGCUUUUACGUCUGGGGCUACACACAUGAUACAAUGGGGUGCACAAAGAGUUGCGAUAUGGUAACAUUGAGCUAAUCUUCAAAACACUCCUCAGUUCGGAUUGAGGUCUGAAACUCGACCUCAUGAAGUUGGAAUUGCUAGUAAUCGUGAAUCAGAUAUGUCACGGUGAAUAUGUUCCUGGGUCUUGAUUAUUGACUGGGCUGAAGUCGUAACAAGGUAUCCGUAGGAGAACCUGCGGAUGGACUAUCUCCU